rnacentral:rRNA from 1 species
CUUUGAAUAUCAAGCGAGCCGCAGGCUCGCUUGAUGGAGGGGAGCGGCAGACGGGUGAGUAACAUGGGAAUUUGCCCUAUGGUACGGAAUAACACAGAGAAAUUUGUGCUAAUACCGUAUGUCCUUCGGGAGAAAGAUUUAUCGCCAUAGGAUAAGCCCGCGUCCGAUUAGCUAGUUGGUGGUAAUGGCGCACCAAGGCGACGAUCGGUAGCUGGUCUGAGAGGAUGAUCAGCCACACGGACUGAGACACGGCCCAGACUCCUACGGGAGGCAGCAGUGGGGAAUAUUGGACAAAUGCGCAAGCCUGAUCCAGCCAUGCCGCGUGUGUGAUGAAGGCCUUAGGGUUGUAAAGCAUUCGCCUGCGAGGAUAAUGACGGUAGCAGGAUAAGAAAGCCCCGGCUAACUUCGUGCCCAGCCGCGGUAAUACGAAGGGGGCUAGCGUUGUUUCGGAAAUCACUGGGCGUAAAGCGCGUAGGCGGACUUUUAAGUCAGAGGUGAAAUCCUGGAGCUCAACUUCAGAACUGCCUU